rnacentral:rRNA from 2 species
UGGUUCUCCCCGAAAGCUAUUUAGGUAGCGCCUCGUGAAUUCAUCUCCGGGGGUAGAGCACUGUUUCGGCUAGGGGGCCAUCCCGGCUUACCAACCCGAUGCAAACUGCGAAUACCGGAGAAUGUUAUCACGGGAGACACACGGCGGGUGCUAACGUCCGUCGUGAAGAGGGAAACAACCCAGACCGCCAGCUAAGGUCCCAAAGUCAUGGUUAAGUGGGAAACGAUGUGGGAAGGCCCAGACAGCCAGGAUGUUGGCUUAGAAGCAGCCAUCAUUUAAAGAAAGCGUAAUAGCUCACUGGUCGAGUCGGCCUGCGCGGAAGAUGUAACGGGGCUAAACCAUGCACCGAAGCUGCGGCAGCGAACGUAUCACCCAAGACAACUUUACGGAGUUGACGAUUGACGGAGCGAAGCGACGUCAAAGCGUUCAUUAAAGUCGAGUUGGCUUAGGGAUACGUUCGUUGGGUAGGGGAGCGUUCUGUAAGCCUGUGAAGGUGUGUCGUGAGGCAUGCUGGAGGUAUCAGAAGUGCGAAUGCUGACAUAAGUAACGAUAAAGCGGGUGAAAAGCCCGCUCGCCGGAAGACCAAGGGUUCCUGUCCAACGUUAAUCGGGGCAGGGUGAGUCGACCCCUAAGGCGAGGCCGAAAGGCGUAGUCGAUGGGAAACGGGUUAAUAUUCCCGUACUUGGUGUUACUGCGAAGGGGGGACGGAGAAGGCUAUGUUGGCCGGGCGACGGUUGUCCCGGUUUAAGCGUGUAGGUGUGUGUUCCAGGUAAAUCCGGUUCACUUUAACACUGAGGCGUGACGACGAGGCACUACGGUGCUGAAGCAACAAAUGCCCUGCUUCCAGGAAAA